GAAGAUGACCUCUGGUUGGAAUUGGGCCUUUCAAAAUAGGUUGCGUAUUUUGGUACAUUUUCUUACUAUCUAAAUGUAAGAGACGUGACAAUGAGAGUUGCAAAGACAAUAUUGUCUUUUGUUAUAUGGGGAGGAUGGAGUUUUUAUUGACACUCUCCCCUAGGGUGGUGUAAUCUAUAUCGCCUCCUUAUUUCUCUGUUGAUGUUGUAGUGGAUUUAGCUCUCUUCUUAUCAAGUGUAAGAGAAGAUAUAUUUUCUUUGAGUUGGUUUUUAUCCAAGAGUGCAUGUGUGGCUGUCUUGGCUUAUGUUGAAAGUGGCCUCAAUGUCCCUUUUUGCAUGAUGGAUGCAAAUUCUCGUAGCAUUGUUGUUUUACAUGGCGUUUGGCUUGAGAAUGUACUGAGCACCUAGCUAUGGAAGAUAAAAGAAAAAUUGCAACAACAAGUCCUAACAACUCUAAAGGAUUUUAAAACAAAUCACAAUUAAAGAUUAGUAAAUAUAAUCAAACAUCGAUCAAAUUCAAUCAAAAUUUUAAAGAAAUUAUGUAAGAAACACAAAGUAUUCCUAGAAACCCUUUAAAGAAUCAUAAAGAAAUAAUAUAAAAAUUAAAAAAUAUACUAAAAUAGAAUCUUUAAUAAAAUAUUAAAAUAGAAACUUUAAUUAAAUCCUAAUGAAAACCUAAUAAAAUUCUUAUCAAAUCCUAAUUAAAUCCUAACUAAAUCCUAAAUAAAUCCUAGUCAAAUCCUAACAAAUCCUAACCAAAUCCUAAUCAAAUCCUAAACAAACUUUAAUCAAAUUUUAAUCAAACUCUAUCCAAAUCCUAACCAAAUCCUAAACAAAAUCUAAAAAAACCUUAAUCA
rnacentral:lncRNA from 1 species